AACGAACGCUGGCGGCAGGCUUAACACAUGCAAGUCGAACGCCCCGCAAGGGGAGUGGCAGACGGGUGAGUAACGCGUGGGAACAUACCCUUUUCUACGGAAUAGCUCUGGGAAACUGGAAUUAAUGCCGUAUACGCCCUACGGGGGAAAGAUUUAUCGGGGAAGGAUUGGCCCGCGUUGGAUUAGCUAGUUGGUGGGGUAAAGGCCUACCAAGGCGACGAUCCAUAGCUGGUCUGAGAGGAUGAUCAGCCACAUUGGGACUGAGACACGGCCCAAACUCCUACGGGAGGCAGUAGUGGGGAAUAUUGGACAAUGGGCGCAAGCCUGAUCCAGCCAUGCCGCGUGAGUGAUGAAGGCCUUAGGGUUGUAAAGCUCUUUCACCGAUGAAGAUAAUGACGGUAGUCGGAGAAGAAGCCCCGGCUAACUUCGUGCCAGCAGCCGCCGUAAUAC
rnacentral:rRNA from 1 species